rnacentral:lncRNA from 1 species
AUGGACCUAACAGAAGCAGAAGAUAUUAAGAAGAGGUGGCAAGAAUACAUGGAAGAACUGUACAAAAAAGAUCUUCACGACCCAGAUAAUCAUGAUGAUGUGAUCACUUACCUAGAGCCAGACAUCUUGGAAUGUGAAGUCAAGUGGGCCUUGGAAAGCAUCACCAUGAACAAAGCUAGUGGAGGUGAUGGAAUUCCAGUUGAGCUAUUUCAAAUCCUGAAAGAUGAUGCUGUGAAAGUGCUGCACUCCAUAUGCCAGCAAAUUUGGAAAACUCACCAGUGGCCACAGGACUGGAAAAGGUCAGUUUUCAUUCCAAUUCCAAAGAAAGGCAAUGCCGAAGAAUGCUCAAACUACCACACAAUUGCACUCAUCUCACACGCUAGUAAAGUAAUGCUCAAAAUUCUCCAAGCCAGGCUUCAGCAAUACGUGAACUGUGAACUCCCUGAUGUUCAAGCUGGUUUUAGAAAAGACAGAGGAACCAGAGAUCAAAUUGCCAACAUCCGCUGGAUCAUCGAAAAAGCAAGAGAGUUCCAGAAAAGCAUCUAUUUCUGCUUUAUUGACUAUGCCAAAGCCUUUGACUGUGUGGAUCACAACAAACUGUGGAAAAUUCUGAAAGAGAUGGGAAUACCAGACCACCUGACCUGCCUCUUGAGAAACUUGUAUGCAGGUCAGGAAGCAACAGUUAGAACUGGACAUGGAACAACAGACUGGUUCCAAAUAGGAAAAGGAGUACGUCAAGGCUGUAUAUUGUCACCCUGCUUAUUUAACUUCUAUGCAGAGUACAUCAUGAGAAACGCUGGGCUGGAAGAAGCACAAGCUGGAAUCAAGAUUGCCGGGAGAAAUAUCAAUAACCUCAGAUAUGCAGAUGACACCACCCUUACGGCAGAAAGUGAAGAGGAACUAAAAAGCCUCUUGAUGAAAGUGAAAGAGGAGAGUGAAAAAGUUGGCUUAAAGCUCAACAUUCAGAAAACGAAGAUCAUGGCAUCUGGUCCCAUCACUUCAUGGGAAAUAGAUGGGGAAACAGUGGAAACAGUGUCAGACUUUAUUUUGGGGGGCUCCAAAAUCACUGCAGAUGGUAGUUGCAGCCAUGAAAUUAAAAGACGCUUACUCCUUGGAAGAAAAGUUAUGAGCAACCUAGACAGCAUAUUCGAAAGCAGAGACAUUACUUUGCCGACUAAGGUCCAUCUAGUCAAGGCUAUGGUUUUUCCUGUGGUCAUGUAUGGAUGUGAGAGUUGGACUGUGAAGAAGGCUGAGUGCCAAAGAAUUGAUGCUUCUAAACUGUGGUGUUGGAGAAGACUCUUGAGGGUCCCUUGGACUGCAGGAAGAUCCAACCAGUCCAUUCUGAAGAAGAUCAGCCCUGGGAUUUCUUUGGAAGGAAUGAUGCUAAAGCUGAAACUCCAGUACUUUGGCCACCUCAUGCGAAGAGUUAACUCAUUGGAAAAGACUCUGAUGCUGGGAGGGAUUGGGGGCAGGAGAAGGGGACGACCGAGGAUGAGAUGGCUGGAUGGAUGGCAUCACGGACUUGAUGGUCGUGAGUCUGAGUGA